rnacentral:rRNA from 1 species
GACGAACGCUGGCGGCGUGCUUAACACAUGCAAGUCGAGCGGUAAGGCCCUUUCGGGGGUACACGAGCGGCGAACGGGUGAGUAACACGUGGGUGACCUGCCCUCAGCUCUGGGAUAAGCCUGGGAAACCGGGUCUAAUACCGGAUAUGACUCCAUGACGCAUGUUGUGGGGUGGAAAGCCUUGUGCGGCUGAGGAUGGGCCCGCGGCCUAUCAGCUUGUUGGUGGGGUGAUGGCCUACCAAGGCGACGACGGGUAGCCGGCCUGAGAGGGCGACCGGCCACACUGGGACUGAGACACGGCCCAGACUCCUACGGGAGGCAGCAGUGGGGAGUCUUGCGCAAUGGGCGAAAGCCUGACGCAGCGACGCCGCGUGAGGGAUGACGGCCU